UGGGGAAUUUUGGACAAUGGGCGAAAGCCUGAUCCAGCAAUGCCGCGUGUGUGAAGAAGGCCUUCGGGUUGUAAAGCACUUUUGUCCGGAAAGAAAUCCUUGGCUCUAAUACAGUCGGGGGAUGACGGUACCGGAAGAAUAAGCACCGGCUAACUACGUGCCAGCAGCCGCGGUAAUACGAGGGGUGCAAGCGUUAUUCGGAAUUAUUGGGCGUAAAGGGUGCGUAGGCGGCGUAUUAAGUCAACUGUUAAAACCUCCAGCCUAACUGGAGAUCAGCAGUAGAUACUGGUAUGCUAGAGGAUGGAAGAGAGAAGUGGAAUUCUUGGAGUAGCGGUGGAAUGCGUAGAUCUCAAGAGGAACACCAAUGGCGAAGGCAGCUUCUUGGUCCAUAUCUGACGCUGAUGCACGAAAGCGUGGGGAGCAAACAGGAUUAGAUACCCUGGUAGUCCACGCCGUAAACGAUGAUCACUAGAUGUUAAUUCUGCUUGCAGAAUUAGUGUCGUAGCUAACGCGAUAAGUGAUCCGCCUGGGGACUACGGUCGCAAGAUUAAAAGCUCAAAGGAAUUGACGGGGUCAUAGCUGUUUCCUG
rnacentral:rRNA from 1 species